AGGAGAGUUUGAUCCUGGCUCAGAACGAACGCUGGCAGCGUGGAUGAGGCAUGCAAGUCGAACGGUCCAAGGCCGGUAGCAAUAUUGGCUUUGGAUAGUGGCGGAAGGGCGAGUAAUGCGAAAGCAAGCUGCCCCUCGAUUCGGGACAACGGCUGGAAACGGCCGCUAAUACCGGAUACGAACGCGAAGCCGCAUGGCUUUGCGUUGAAAGGCCGGGACCUUCGGGCCGGUCGUCGGGGGAGGCGCUUUCGUGCCAUCGGCUAGUUGGCGGGGUAACGGCCCACCAAGGCUUACGGCUAGGUGGACUGAGAGGUUGGUCACCCGCACUGGGACUGAGACACUGCCCAGACUCCUACGGGAGGCUGCAGUCGAGGAUCAUUUGCAAUGGGCGAAAGCCUGACAAUGCGACGCUGCGUGCAGGAUGAAGGUCUUCGGAUUGUAAACUGCUGUCAAGGGGGAAAAGGACGCGGCCCCGAACAAGGGCUGCCGUUUGAUUGUACUCCUAGAGGAAGUGACGGCUAACUCUGUGCCAGCAGCCGCGGUAAUACAGAGGUCACUAGCGUUGUUCGGAUUUACUGGGCGUAAAGCGUGCGCAGGCGGCCGACCUUGUCGGAUGUGAAAGCCCGGGGCUCAGCCCCGGAAGUGCAUCCGAAACCGGUCGGCUGGAGUCCGGGAAGGGAGUCUGGAACACACGGUGUAGCGGUGAAAUGCGUUGAUAUCGUGUGGAACACCGGAAGCGAAGGCGAGACUCUGGAACGGAACUGACGCUCAUGCACGAAAGCGUGGGGAGCAAACAGGAUUAGAUACCCUGGUAGUCCCCU
rnacentral:rRNA from 1 species